rnacentral:lncRNA from 1 species
AAGGAAAGAAAAAAAGAAAAGAAGAAAGAAGAAAUAAAUAAAUAAAUAAACAAAUGCAUAUAUAAAUAUAUCUAUGAAUGAACAAAUAAAGAAAUAAAUAAAUAAUUAAGAUAAUAACUAAAUAUAUUUAAAUGAAAUAAAAUAAUAAAUAAAUAAAUAAGAAGGGAGGAGAAGAAGAGAAGAAAAAAGAAAAGAAAAAAAAGAAGAAAAAGGGAAAAAAAGAAAAGAAAAAAGGAAGAAAAGAAGAAAAGAAAAAAAAUAAAUAAACAAAUAAUUAUAUCUACGAAUGAAUGGAUAAAGAAAGAAAUAAAUAAUUAAGAUAAUAAUUAAAUAUAUUUCAAUGAAAUAAAAUAAAAAUAAAUAAAUAAGAAGGGAGGAGAAGAAUAGAAAAAAAGAAAAGAAAAAAAAGAAAGAAAGGGAAAGAAAAAGAAGAAAAAAAAGAAGAAAAAGGAAAUAAAAAGAAGAGAAGGAAAGAAAAAGAAGAAAAGAAAAGAAAAAGAAAGAAAAAGAAAAAUAAUCAC